ensembl:snRNA U1 U1 spliceosomal RNA
AUACUUAACCUGGUAGGAGAGAUACCAUGAUCACGAGGGUGGUUUUCCCAGGGUGAGGCUUAUCCAUUGUACUCCGGAUGUGCUGACCCCUGCGAUUUCCCCAAAUGUGGGAAACUCGACUGCAUAAUUUGAACACAGUGGGGGACUGUGUUCGUGCUUUCCUCUG